UCCGCAGAUUACUUCCUGUG
rnacentral:snRNA from 1 species